GCCCAAUCAGCCGGCCGCCAGGCGAGCUGCACCGCCCGGUACGGCCCUGGCCGCGGAGACCCAGCGGAGGAGCGGCCGACCCUGCAGGGUGCGCUCUCCCAGGGCAGUCAACCUUCUUAGGAUGGAAAUACCCUGAAUUUGGUGUCAAAUAGACCAAAGUUUGAGUUUUACCACUAUUUGUUUUCCUGUGAUCAUAGGUAAGUUAACAUCACUAUGGGAUUCUUGGUUUCCUUAUCAGUAAAAUAGGUUUAAAAG
rnacentral:lncRNA from 1 species